rnacentral:rRNA from 1 species
UACGAAGGGUGCAAGCGUUACUCGGAAUUACUGGGCGUAAAGCGUGCGUAGGUGGUUCGUUAAGUCUGAUGUGAAAGCCCUGGGCUCAACCUGGGAAUGGCAUUGGAUACUGGCGUCCUAGAGUGCGGUAGAGGGGUGUGGAAUUCCCGGUGUAGCAGUGAAAUGCGUAGAUAUCGGGAGGAACAUCUGUGGCGAAGGCGACACCCUGGACCAGCACUGACACUGAGGCGCGAAAGCGUGGGGAGCAAACAGG